UAUAUAAUUAAUAAAAUGAAAACUAUAUCCCACAUGCGGUAUUACAAUGGUAAAAAUUAAAGGUAAAUCGAAUUUAACUCUUAAGUUUUAGUCUUUACUAAAAAAGUAAUCGAUGAUAAAUUCGUCAAUUUUAAAAUAAAUAUUAUUUUUAAUCGUCGCGCACGUCAUUCCGGAUUUUUGCAUACGUAGCAAAUAAUUGAACCGCAUCGUGCAGUAUUAUUACUUAUUUACAUAUAAUUCAUUUUUUUGAAAUAAAUAAAUAUGAAUUAUAUAAUUGAAUAAGCUGUAUUAAAAUUACUUAAAAAAAACUAAGCAGUAAUAAUUUAUCAUCAUGAUUUACAAAGAAUAAAAAAGCACGCACAGAUUCUUAUGAAAAUUAUGAGAUGAUACAAGACAAGUUCAUUUUUGUGCCUUAUUGAAGUAUGGAACUAAAGGAGAUAACUUUCUGCUUACUGUUCUGGUAGAUCCAGAUAAACGUAAUAAGUGCAUAAGUCAAGUCAUUAAAAACAAAAUAAUCCAGUUGUGUAAUACAAUAUUACAACAAAAAAUAAUAAAUAAAUUUAACAAAUUAAAAUGUUUCUUGGUUUUUGGUGUAGAAACAACGGAUAUAUCAAUAAAAGAGCAGUUCUCUAUAUGUGUCCAUUAUAUUGAUGAAAAAAAUAUUCUAUAUGAUGACUUUUUAGUUUUUUUUACAUUCAAAGUUUGACUGGUGAUGCCUUGGCAAACUCUAUAAUAAAUGAUAGUUUUUUAGGCUUAAAUAGUUGUACUCUAGAUUGUAAUUAUUUAUAUGGCCAGGGCUAUGAUAGAGCCAGUAAUAUUGCUGGCCAAUUUAAAGGAGUACAAACACUCAUAGGGUCUAUGUAUCCCAAAGUUUUGUAUGUUCACUGUGCUGUACAUUCGUUGAAUUUGGUAGUUACAACAGCAAGUGAAAUAAAACGUAUCAAAAAUUGUUAAGGAUUAAUUGAAAAAGCAUACAAGUUAUCAACACCCCUAAAAUAAAUUCUGUUGAAAUUUUUAAUUGAAAAUUCUGAAAAUGAACCUAGCACUUAACAACUUAAACGCUGGAUUCAACGCUACAAUUUAGUAAAUGAUUUAUCAGAGCUAUUCUAUUUGUUCUUUCAGUAUUUGAAACUAUUUCUGAUUGGAAACAUCCAACUAAGGCUCACGUGAUAAAGAGGUCAAUGAAAGAUACUAAGUUUAUAAU